rfam:Picea glauca, whole genome shotgun sequence.
ACAUGCCGACAACAUAGCGUUAAUGCACCAGAUCCCAUUAGAAAUCCACAGUUAAGUGUGCUCGGCCUAGAUUAGUAUUGGGAUGGGUGACUGCCCGAUAAGUCCUAGUGUUUUACAUGCC